ensembl:lncRNA ZNF528-AS1 ZNF528 antisense RNA 1
GCAUCCUAGAGGCCGGACUGGCUGGGACCAGGGCGGGCCGGGACAAAGCCUGGGCCGGGCCUGCGCUUCCGUUCGCUUGACUGGCUGCGCUUGUUUUCAGGGUUUUGGUCUGAAAACGGAUCUUACCUGCGCAGAGCAAAAUCGGUUGUAGAUUAUAUCCACGAAAAUUCCUUCUAUUAAAAUGAAUUUCAAGUCCCACCUACCCUGGAAGCAGAAAGAGAGAGAAGAGAGAGAGUAAAGAGAAAGAGAAAAGAAAGAGAAGUUGAAAAAGAGAAAGAAAACCAAGAAAGAAAGAGAAAAAAACCGAAAAUAAAUGGACAAGAAAGAAAAACGGUGAAGGUCAACCCUGUGCUCAAUUCCAGAGACUUUCCUAGGGACAUCGUGUUGGGCAUGGAGGACUAAGGCCAGUGUGAAGAUAAGUCACCGAUUCUUUAAAAAAAAAAAGCCAGUAACUUAUAAAAAUAGCCAUAAACGACGUAGUUUUUUGUUGUUGUUGUUGUUUUGAGACAGCGUCUCCCUCUGUCCCCCAGGCGGGAGUACAGUGGCAGGCACUCAGCUCACUGUAACCUCCGCCUCCUGGGUUCAAGUGAUUCUCUUGCCCCAGCCUCCAGAGUAGCCACCACGCCCGGUCCAACUUAGUUUUUUAAUACUUUUUAAAAUUUUAAGACAGGGUCUCUGCCACCGAGGCUGAAAUGCAGUGGCGCAAUCAUAGCUCACUGCAACCUUGACUUCCUGGGGUCCUGGGCAGGUGACCCCCUGUCUCAGCCUGCCGAGUAGCUGUGAGUAAAGGCCUGUGCCUCUCCACUGUGCUAAUUUUCUACUGUUUGUUGCUUUGUUUUUAAUAGAGAUGUAGUCUGGUUUUGUUGCCCAGGCUGGUCUCCAGCUUCUAGCCUCAAGCAGUCUUCCCAUCUGCUCCUACCAAAGUGCUCGGAUUAUAGGCAUGAAUCACCUUGCAUGGGAGAUAAGGACCCCCACAUCAAGCCCUCAGGUCACUGGGAUCCUGGACUACGGCACUGCUCCAGGCAGGCCUGGUUAUCCUGCUUGAGGCAGCAAUCCUCUUGAGCCUAGUGAAAUGCAACUGGCUGUACCUCAAUGAUGUUGCCCUGAGAUUCUGCCAGUCGAGGCCAACGUGCCAUGCAUCCCUGGAGCAUGAAACCCAGGAUGGGCCGCCUUCCAGCCUCCCACAGCUGUGAUGCAAGUUGAACACAUACAGAGAGACUGCAUCUGCACUGGGUGGUUUUCCUGAGCCUUGGGGAGCAGAAUGCAUGAAUCCCAGGUAUCUGCCGAUCUGUAUGUAACAAAUUCACUUCAUGUAACUUACUGUGUGUCCGUGAGAUUAUCUCUCACUCAACUCAGACACAUUGGCAACCAGUGUGCAGUGAACCUGCUUCACAAGCAAGGAUGUGGAGAAACUAUUUUCGUACAUUUUGUGGGAAUCUGAAAUACUGCGGUCAGUAUGGAAAGCAGUAUCAUGGGAAACUUCCUCAACUCAAGAUCACCUACCAAUCCUUACAGAAUCAGAAUCAUCAUACAAACUGGUGAAAGCAUAGUUUCCCCUAGAGGUUGGGAUGAGGGCAAGAAUGUCCCCUC